GGAAGGUUCGCCAUUGUACACCUCUGCCCCACUCGACUCUAACCCUAGUGCCAUCCGAUCGGCCAGUGCAGCAGCGUCGGGAAGCGCCACCACUGCCUCAACACCGACGCCAUGGACGCCUCGACGGUUUAAUCCUAAUCCCCUAAACCUCUCUGUUUCUCUCUAUGUGUAGUAGUUCUAGUGUGUACAAGUGUAGUUCUACUGCCUAUGUUUAUUUGCUGUAUUUGUUGUACUCGAAUCCCGAUCUAUUCUACUGCUAGAUGAUCCUAAACCUCUAUCAAUGGUACCAGAGCCAAUCUAGCAUGUAGAUUGAAUUUGGGAUUCACCCGCGAGACAAGCACGAGAAAAGCAAAAGAAAAGGGGAAUUAUUACCAAAUCCCUAACCCUAGCACAGAACCAGUGGCCCAAACCCUAAAGAUCCAGAUCGGGGAGGGGAAUAGAAAACCCUAACCCUAAAGCAAAGGGAAAGGGCGACCCUACCUGGGGCCCGUCCAUCCCGGCCUCGCCACAGGCCGUCACCAUGGCCGGCGGGGCGGACAGCCGAGCCAAAUCGCGAAGAGCACAUAGCCAGUGCGGGGGGCGCGCGUAGUACAAGGCACCGUCGUCAAGCGACACGACGGCGGCGCGCUCAGCCAUGGGCGAGCGCGCGCGCCGGCGAGGAGCUUCACGGCGGCACCGUCUCCUUUUCUUCAUCCGACGAGCCAUUUUGGCCGGUCAUGUUGACCAACCAGAAAAGCAAAGAGGGAGGAGAGGGAGAUAGAGCAGAACGCCGCGAGGAACGGUGGAGACAUCCGCCGCAGCCUCGACGGCGAGCCGCCGACCGGCAGCUCGGCGAGUUUCGCCACCGCCGCCGCCGUCAGAGAGAAGAGAGAGAGCGUAGAGAGAGAAGCAAAGAAAUGAGGGCUAGGGUUUCAGGGGCUGGCCGGCUUGGGGGCUGUUUUGUUCACGCGAGAUUGAAGGACGGCCGUCGGAUGCAAUCCAACGGCCGAGAUCGGCCAGGAUCGCACUGGGCCACUUUUGGCCCAGGCGGGAUGGGGGUUUCCCGGCCCAGGCCCAGGUUGCGGCCUGGGCGCGGGGGGCGCCUGCGCGCGGCUCGACCAUGGGCCGUUUUGGUUUCAUGGGCCGAAAAUCACAGAGCCAAGCAAGAAGAAAAAAAAGCCCUGCGCUGCUGGGCCAGCGCCCGAGCUGGACCGCAAGAGGUCUGGGCCAAAUGUUUGGCCACGGCCCGUUUAAGCACAGUAACUCCUUUUUUUUAUAUAUAUUCUAUUUAAUUUUCAGAAGCAUUUAAAUAUUUGUUUUGCUCCGUUUUGAAUUCUAUUUAAUUUGCACCAACGUGUAUAUUAAUUAGAAAGCACAGUCAGCAAGUUAUGCUUCUGGAAAUAGCAAGUAAAUUAAUGUUUUUCCGCUGCGCAAGUUAUAGUUUUAAUUCUCAUAUUAAAUUGAACCAACGGGAUAUUUAAUUUGAGAAGCCGAGUUUUCAAGCGCAGAAUUCUUUGUAAUAUUGUUAAUUUUUGACCAACGUCAAUAAUAACAAUAUUGCAAAUUCCAAGUUACAGCAAGUUACGAUUCUAGCAAGUUAAUUUACGUUAAGUUAAUUUACGUUUUCCGCUGCGCAAGACAUUUUAGUUCUCUUAUUAAAUUGAACCAACGGGAUAUUUAAUUCGAGAAGCAAGGUUUGAAGCCCAGAAAUCUUUUUUGUAAUAUUGUUAUUUUUUGACCAACGUUAAAAAUAGCAAUAUUGCAAAUGCCAAGUUCCAAUUUUAAGCAUUUAUUCUAUUUUGCCCAACGGUGAUUAGAUUUCAUGCAGCGAGUUAAUUUUUGUAUAUCUUAAUUUUGACCAACGUUAAAUUAAGAUAUUCAAUUAUUCUACCAAGUUUUAAAUGUUGGUGUUCUCACCAUCUUCUCAUUAUUAUUUCAGAGCAAGUGAUGCACUUCAUUAGUGCAAUCCCCAAGCAAGAGAAUACCUCGAGAAAGUGCAGAAUCAGUUCAAUGCCUAGACAAAGGAAUUUACAUGAUGUAUUUUAUGUUCCCUCUCAGCAAAGGUGAUUGUAAGCUACAGUUAAAUAAUAAAUGUGUGGGUCUUGCCUUCCGACAAGACAAACUUUAUUUAUUAUCUAUGCCUGAGAAUGUGAAUGCUGAAUGUAAUAACGCUAAGAAUGCAAUACCCGCAGAUGCUAGCAAGAAAAGAAAGAGAAUUGAUUCCUCAUCGAAAUUAUGGCACUGUCGCUUAGGCCACAUUUCGAGGGGGAGAAUAGAACGCUUAGUCAAAGAAUCAAUCCUCCCACCACUAGAACUCUCAGAGUUAGAGCAAUGCGUCGAUUGCAUUAAAGGCAAGUUAGUAAAGAACAUAAAGAAAGGCGCUAAGCGAAGCACGGGAGUACUAGAAUUGAUCCACACAGACAUCUGUGGACCUUUUCCAGUGACAUCUGUGGAUGGUUUUGAUUCCUUCAUCACAUUCACAGAUGACUACUCUCGUUUUGGAUAUAUCUAUCCAAUCAAAGAACGCUCAGAAGCUUUAGACAAAUUUAAGAUAUUCAAGGCUGAGGUUGAAAACCAACUAGACAGAAAAAUCAAAGUAGUAAGAUCUGACCGUGGGGGGAGUACUACGGUCGACAUACCCCUUAUGGACAAGUUCCUGGACCUUUUGCGAGGUUCUUACAGGAAAAUGGCAUAGUAGCCCAGUAUUCAAUGCCAGGGGACCCACAGCAGAAUGGAGUAGCAGGAAGGCGUAACCGUACUCUAAUGGAUAUGGUGCGCAGCAUGAUGAGCUAUUCCACUCUGCCACUGAGUUUGUGGAUGGAGGCCUUAAAAACCGCCAUUCAUAUUCUCAACAGAGUUCCAAGCAAGUCAGUACUUAAAACCCCGUAUGAGUUGUGGACCGGCAGGAAACCCUCAGUUAACCAUCUGCGUGUCUGGGGGAGCCCCGCUGAAGCAAAAGUGUUUAACCCAAACAUAGGAAAGCUAGACCCCAAAACAGUAAGUUGUCAUUUUAUUGGCUAUCCAGAAAAGUCAAAAGGUUAUCGUUUCUACUGCCCUGGUAGACAUACCAAGUUUGUGGAAACGAGACACGCCAGUUUUCUAGAAGAUCACAUGAUCAGGGGGGGCAAGGCAGCGCGAGAAAUUACCCUUGAAGAGAAGCGGGUGUUCGUGCCCAUUUCCAUGGUGCAAGAACCCUACUUUACGCUGCCUGUUGUUGUUGGAUCUACACCAGUAGUGACAGCACCUGCUGCUUUUUCGCCUAUGGCUAAUUUGGAACCUGUCCCUCAGGAGCCGAAUGAACCCAUAGUUGAAGAACAGCAGCCCCAACAAGAGCAACCUCAAGAAGAAAUGCCAGUAGCAGAAACCUCUGGUAGACCUCAAAGAGCGAGAAAGUCUCCUAUUCCAGAUGACUAUAUAGUCUAUGAAUGCGAAGAAGUUCAGAUGGAGGAUGAACCCACUUCAUUUGAAGAAGCCAUGAGGAGCACCGAAGCGUCUAAGUGGCAAGAAGCCAUGGAAGAUGAAUUAAAGUCUAUGAGUACCAAUAAAGUAUGGGACCUAGAGGAAAUUCCUGAAGGAGCCAAAACAGUAGGCUGCAAAUGGGUCUACAAGGUGAAAUGUGACUCCAAAGGGAACAUAGAAAGGUACAAAGCAAGACUGGUAGCCAAGGGUUUUACUCAGCGAGAAGGGAUAGAUUAUAAUGAAACAUUCUCUCCCGUCUCGAGCAAGGACUCUUUUAGAAUUAUAAUGGCCCUAGUGACAUUCUACUAGCCAAUAGUGACGUCACUCUACUGCAGGAAACCAAGAGAUUUUGUCCUCAAAUUUCGAUAUGAAAGAUUUAGGUGAAGCUUCUUUUGUCUUGGGCAUAAAGAUUCACCGAGAUAGAAGUCGAGGGGUAUUGGGAUUAUCCCAAGAAGCAUAUGUAGAGAAAAUAUUGAAGAAAUUCAAUAUGCAUAAGUGCAGACCUUCACCUGCUCCUAUAGUAAAAGGUGACAAGUAUGGGGAACAUCAAUGUCCCAAGAGCAAGUUCGAGCGCGAUCGCAUGCAAGCGUUCCAUACGCUUCAGCUGUCGGAAGCUUACAGUAUGCUCAAGUGUGCACACGUCCAGACCUGGCUUUUGUGACCGGGCUACUUGGUAGAUAUCAAAGUAAUCCAGGUAUGGAACACUGGAAUCUAGUGAAGAAAGUCCUAAGGUACUUGCAAGGCACAAAAGGUCUCAUGUUAACCUAUAGAAGAUCUGAUGACCUACAAAUAGUAGGGUAUUCAGAUUCUGAUUACGCGGGAGAUGAUAGAAAGUCUACCUCAGGGUAUAUAUUCACUCUCGCGCAAGGAGCCAUAUCAUGGAAGAGCUCAAAACAAACAAUAGUCACUGCAUCGUCCACAAUGUAUGUUGAGUUUAUUGCUUGUUAUGAGGCAUCAGGACAGGUGAAUUGGCUUAAGAAAUUUAUACCUAGUUUAAAGGUGGUCGACAGCAUCGAUAAACCACUAAAGUUGUAUUGUGACAACGAGCCAGCAGUGUUGUAUGCUCACAACAAUAAGUCAAGCAAUGCCGCCAAGCACAUUGACAUAAAAAUAUUAUGUUGUCAAGGAUAAAAUCCGGGAUCAUAUCAUAAGUCUUGAACAUAUAAGCACAGAAAAGAUGCUAGCGGAUCCGCUUACGAAAGGCUUACCGCCCAAUAUGUUCAGAGAACAUAUAGCCGGCAUGGGUUUAAGGGAAAGCCUGUGAUUCCUGGAUAGUAAGGGGCCCAAGGCAAGAAUUCAUCUCUAAACAGAAAAAUGUUUGUGGUUGUCCAAUCUAACGGUAAUUACUGUCAUGAUGAAACAUGCCCAAUAUAUUUAUUUGUGAUGAGGUGGGUUGGUGAAGCAUAAGAGCAUAGAUGAGAUCAAGGAGGAGAAUGUUAGGUUGAUCUCUGAACUAGCCCAACGGCUGGAGCCAGUUACCCUUUGACCAAGCCCUGAUCGGGGGCGCUCAACCACCCAUUGGAGUGGUGGGCCCCUGGCGCACUGCACUAUAAGUAUAGGAGUGGGGGCUGCAAGCACAAUAGAUGGAAGGUUCGCCACUGUACACCUCUGCCCCACUCGACUCUAACCCUAGUGUCAUCCGAUCGGCCAGUGCAGCAGCGUCGGGAAGCGCCACCACUGCCUCAACACCGACGCCAUGGACGCCUCGACGGUUUAAUCCUAAUCCCCUAAACCUCUCUGUUUCUCUCUAUGUGUAGUAGUUCUAGUGUGUACAAGUGCAGUUCUACUGCCUAUGUUUAUUUGCUGUAUUUGUUGUACUCGAAUCCCGAUCUAUUCUACUGCUAGAUGAUCCUAAAC
rnacentral:lncRNA from 1 species